rnacentral:rRNA from 1 species
AUUGAACGCUGGCGGCAGGCCUAACACAUGCAAGUCGAGCGGAGCGGCGGACGGGUGAGUAAUGCCUAGGAAGCUGCCUGGGAGUGGUGGAUAACGUACGGAAACGGGCGCUAAUACCGCAUACUAUCAGAUGAGCCUAGGUCGUAUUAGCUAUUGGUGGGGGUAAAGGCCUACCAAGGCGACGAUCCGUAACGGGUCUGAAAGGAUGAUCAGUCACACUGGAACUGAGACACGGUCCAGACUCCUACGGGAGGCAUCAGUGGGGAAUAUUGGACAAUGGGCGAAAGCCUGAUCCAGCCAUGCCGCGUGUGUGAAGAAGGUCUUCGGAUUGUAAAGCACUUUAAGUUGGGAGGCGUUACCAACAGAAUAAGCACCGGCUAACUUCGUGCCAGCAGCCGCGGUAAUAC